GCCAACGGCCAUACCAUGCUGAAAGCACCGGUUCUCGUCUGAUCACCGCAGUUAAGCAGCAUCGGGCGCGGUCAGUACUUGGGAGGGUGACCACCUGGGAACACCGCGUGCUGUUGGCAU
rnacentral:rRNA from 1 species